UCUACGCUCAGCUUGCUUCAGUUGCGGCGCCCGCGAGAGGCAUUCAUUCCGUUUUAACAGUUUAAUACGUGCGAUGUGCUCGUGUGCCGCCUCCGCCACGUGUUUGGCUGCAGUUUUUUGGACGGAUAUAGCAUUCGGCGCCAUGCCCGAUUUCAGCAGCAAGAUGUGAAAACAUGAGCGACAGCGCAGAAAGCCUGCAAUGUGCGCGCUGUGCAAACUGCUUGAACGCGGGCGCCGCGCCUCCAGGCCGAGUUUUACAGUUCGCCGCGGACGAAGGGGCGAAUGCUUUUUUGCCACUGACAUCUGAGAAGACAAGACGCCACAAAGCAGUGCAUCAGCACUGCCGCAGUUCUGCCAGAGGCAUCGGACAGUCGAGGCACGCAUUUAGGUACGAGAAAGCAACAAGGUGCAUACCACAAUGUACAUGGUUAUUGUUACCCUUGGAAUGGCGUUUGGCUUGAUGCUCCCCAGUAUCGCUUUAGGUGGGAGAAGUCACUGUGGACCCCCGGACUGUACCAAGAAACCACAGAAUAAGAAUUGUUCGAAUCCAUGUGUUGGAUACUCUUGCAAUGGCACAGAGCUCCUAACAGAACACUGUCGACAUCACGGUGACCCACUGUGCACGUCGAUUUAUGCUAACUCCAAAGUUCCUUAUCCCGACUGCUGCGGUGUAGUUGUCUGCGCUUCAGGAUAACUGCAAUGGAAGCACGUUGAAGAAGAAAAUAUGGCCAAUCACUGCCUAGUGCCUACCACUCUAGUAUUAACAAAUGCACCAGGAUGUUGUUGCAGAGCGCUAUCUGCAAGUGGUGUGCACGAGUGCACAUUUUAAUAAAAGGUCAUA